rnacentral:rRNA from 1 species
AGUGAACGCUGGCGGUAGGCCUAACACAUGCAAGUCGAACGGCAGCACAGUAAGAGCUUGCUCUUACGGGUGGCGAGUGGCGGACGGGUGAGGAAUACAUCGGAAUCUACUUUUUCGUGGGGGAUAACGUAGGGAAACUUACGCUAAUACCGCAUACGACCUACGGGUGAAAGCAGGGGAUCUUCGGACCUUGCGCGAUUGAAUGAGCCGAUGUCGGAUUAGCUAGUUGGCGGGGUAAAGGCCCACCAAGGCGACGAUCCGUAGCUGGUCUGAGAGGAUGAGCAGCCACACUGGAACUGAGACACGGUCGAGACUCCUACGGGAGGCAGCAGUGGGGAAUAUUGGACAAGGGGCGCAAGCCUGAUCCAGCCAUACCGCGUGAGUGAAGAAGGCCUUCGGGUUGUAAAGCCCUUUUGUUGGGAAAGAAAAACAGCAGGUUAAUACCCCGCUGUUCUGACGGUACCCAAAGAAUAAGCACCGGCUAACUUCGUG